AUAAUAAUUAGUUUUUUAAUUGGAAACUAGAAUGAAUGAUUGGAUAAAACAUAACCUUUUUUUUUUAAAAUUUUAUAAAAUUUAAAUUUUUAGUUAAAAAGCUAAAAUUUUUUAAAAAGACGAGAAGACCCUAUAGAUUUUUAUUUAAUUAAAAUUAUUUAUUUAACUUUAAUUGAAUUUUAUUGGGGGGAUAAAAAAAUUUAAAAAACUUUUUAAAUUUAUUAACAUUAAUGUAUGAAAAAUUUUAAAAUAUAAACUAUUUAAAUUAUUAUAAAUAAAGAUUAAAAUACCUUAGGGAUAACAGCGUAAUUUUAAUUUUAAGAUCUUAUUUAAAUUAAAGAUUGC
rnacentral:rRNA from 1 species